GUCAGCACCCCGCUCUAAAGAGCAGGGGCCGAAGCGCCUCUCUCUUAGAUAGCUGACCAGCCUAAGUCUUGUUGGACUACGUUUUUAGAGUUAUGACACCUACAAAUGCUUUCCAGUUUGUAGCCCUGUCGUUAGUUGUUAAACAUUCCUACGAGGGGUAAGAAAGUGCAACUAGCCGAACAAGCUUUAAAAACAUUGGCGAGGAAAAAAUUAC
ncrna:Lyngbya sp. PCC 8106 HNH endonuclease-associated RNA and ORF (HEARO) RNA